rnacentral:rRNA from 1 species
GUUGUAUAGUCAAGUAAUUAAGUGCAUGUGGUGGAUGCCUUGGCAGUCAGAGGCGAUGAAAGACGUGAUAGCCUGCGAAAAGCUCCGGGGAGGCGGCAAAUAUCCUUUGAUCCGGAGAUGUCUGAAUGGGGGAACCCACCUACUUUAAGGUAGGUAUCGCAACAUGAAUACAUAGUGUUGCAAGGCGAACGAGGGGAAGUGAAACAUCUCAGUACCCUUAGGAAAAGAAAUCAAUUGAGAUUCCCUCAGUAGCGGCGAGCGAACGGGGAUCAGCCCAUUAAGUUAUGUGUGUUUUAGUGGAACGCUCUGGGAAGUGCGAACGUAGAGGGUGAUAUUCCCGUACACGAAAGGGCACACAUAAUGAUGACGAGUAGGGCGAGGCACGUGAAACCUUGUCUGAAUAUGGGGGGACCAUCCUCCAAGGCUAAAUACUCCUGACUGACCGAUAGUGAACCAGUACCGUGAGGGAAAGGCGAAAAGAACCCCUGUGAGGGGAGUGAAAUAGAUCCUGAAACCGCAUGCAUACAAGCAGUGGGAGCACCUUCGUGGUGUGACUGCGUACCUUUUGUAUAAUGGGUCAGCGACUUAUAUUCAGUAGCGAGGUUAACCGUAUAGGGGAGCCGUAGAGAAAUCGAGUCUUAAUAGGGCGUUUAGUUGCUGGGUAUAGACCCGAAACCAGGCGAUCUAUCCAUGAGCAGGUUGAAGGUUGGGUAACACUAACUGGAGGACCGAACCCACUGUCGUUGAAAAGCCAGGGGAUGACUUGUGGAUAGGGGUGAAAGGCUAAUCAAGCCUGGUGAUAGCUGGUUCUCCCCGAAAGCUAUUUAGGUAGCGCCUCGGACGAAUACCAUAGGGGGUAGAGCACUGUUUCGGCUAGGGGGUCAUCCCGACUUACCAAACCGAUGCAAACUCCGAAUACCUAUGAGUACUAUCCGGGAGACAGACUGCGGGUGCUAACGUCCGUAGUCAAGAGGAAAACAAUCCAGACCGCCAGCUAAGGCCCCAAAAUCAUAGUUAAGUGGGAAACGAUGUGGGAAGGCAUAGACAGCUAGGAGGUUGGCUUAGAAGCAGCCACCCUUUAAAGAAAGCGUAAUAGCUCACUAGUCGAGUCGGCCUGCGCGGAAGAUGUAACGGGGCUAAAACUAUGUGCCGAAGCUGCGGAUGUAUACUUUGUAUACGUGGUAGGGGAGCGUUCUGUAAGCCGAUGAAGGUGUGUUGAGAAGCAUGCUGGAGGUAUCAGAAGUGCGAAUGCUGACGUGAGUAACGACAAAACGGGUGAAAAACCCGUUCGCCGAAAGACCAAGGGUUCCAGUCCAACGUUAAUCGGGGCUGGGUGAGUCGACCCCUAAGGCGAGGCCGAAAGGCGUAGUCGAUGGGAAAAUGGUUAAUAUUCCAUUACUUCUGUGUAAUGCGAUGAGAGGACGGAGAAGGCUAAAUCAGCCUGGCGUUGGUUGUCCAGGUGAAAGGAUGUAGGCAUGUAUCUUAGGCAAAUCCGGGGUACUCUAUGCUGAGAUCUGAUAGCAAGCUGUACUUGUACAGCGAAGUGGUUGAUGCCAUGCUUCCAGGAAAAGUCUCUAAGCUUCAGUUACACAGGAAUCGUACCCGAAACCGACACAGGUGGUCAGGUCGAGUAGACCAAGGCGCUUGAGAGAACUCUGCUGAAGGAACUAGGCAAAAUGGUACCGUAACUUCGGGAGAAGGUACGCUGUUGUUGGUGAUGGAACUCGCUUCCUGAGCUGACGACAGCCGCAGAAACCAGGCCGCUGCAACUGUUUAUUAAAAACAUAGCACUCUGCAAACACGAAAGUGGACGUAUAGGGUGUGAUGCCUGCCCGGUGCUGGAAGGUUAAUUGAUGGGGUUAGCGUAAGCGAAGCUCUUGAUCGAAGCCCCAGUAAACGGCGGCCGUAACUAUAACGGUCCUAAGGUAGCGAAAUUCCUUGUCGGGUAAGUUCCGACCUGCACGAAUGGCAUAAUGAUGGCGGCGCUGUCUCCAGCAGAGGCUCAGUGAAAUCGAAAUCGCUGUGAAGAUGCAGUGUACCCGCGGCUAGACGGAAAGACCCCGUGAACCUUUACUGCAGCUUGACACUGAACUUUGACCUUACUUGUGUAGGAUAGGUGGGAGGCUUUGAAGCUGGAACGCUAGUUCCAGUGGAGCCGUCCUUGAAAUACCACCCUGGUAAUGUUGAGGUUCUAACUCUGUCCCGUGAUCCGGGACGAGGACCGUGUCUGGUGGGUAGUUUGACUGGGGCGGUCUCCUCCUAAAGAGUAACGGAGGAGUACGAAGGUGCGCUCAGCGUGGUCGGAAAUCACGCGUAGAGUAUAAAGGCAAAAGCGCGCUUAACUGCGAGACCCACAAGUCGAGCAGGUACGAAAGUAGGUCUUAGUGAUCCGGUGGUUCUGUAUGGAAGGGCCAUCGCUCAACGGAUAAAAGGUACUCUGGGGAUAACAGGCUGAUACCGCCCAAGAGUUCAUAUCGACGGCGGUGUUUGGCACCUCGAUGUCGGCUCAUCUCAUCCUGGGGCUGAAGCAGGUCCCAAGGGUAUGGCUGUUCGCCAUUUAAAGAGGUACGCGAGCUGGGUUUAGAACGUCGUGAGACAGUUCGGUCCCUAUCUACCGUGGGCGCUGGAAAUUUGAGAGGAUCUGCUCCUAGUACGAGAGGACCAGAGUGGACGAACCUCUGGUGUACCGGUUGUGACGCCAGUCGCAUCGCCGGGUAGCUAUGUUCGGAAGGGAUAACCGCUGAAAGCAUCUAAGCGGGAAGCCUACCUCAAGAUAAGAUUUCCCUAGGACUUUAUGUCCUCUAAAGAGCCGUUCGAGACUAGGACGUUGAUAGGUUGGAUGUGGAAGCAUAGUGAUAUGUGAAGCUGACCAAUACUAAUUGCUCGUGAGGCUUGACUAUACAACACCCAAGCAGUUG